CUCUGACUCUGAUUUAAUUUCUCUCUCAAGAGUCCCCCACUCCAAAACAGGAAGCCUGGAAGAUUGGAGUGAUAGCGAUAGCAUUCUUCCUCAUUCUGCAGACCCUCGUCACUGUUACCUACAUCCUGAAAUGCAGAAGAAAAAGAAGCAGGUGCACAGGCCCGGAGAAAGUGUGUGAAAAUGGAAUCGGAGCUGUUAAGGAUGAUGCAAAUGCAGAAGCUGAUGAACAGACCACGCUGGAUGACCUCCCAGAGCACUCUGAAAUCCAGAAAGAGAUGCUGGCUGUGACACCGAUUCACACACAAUCUGUGGUGGAGAACUCAUCCAAUCCUUGAACUUCUGUUCUUUAAGAGCUACUGCUGCAGCACUACUGCCUCUAAUAUACUGUAUGUCUGUUUCUUUUACUGUGACGGGGAUUUAUAAGUCUAGAUGACACAAUCACUCAGAAGUUUGGUGAUGCUAGAUACUGCAGUUGCAUCACGGUCUGGGAAAACCUGUCAGACGCUGGUGCAAUAUUUUGGAAUUCUGGAAAGUCAUAAAAAUAGAGUUUUUUUUUUUCCCCUAGCAAAUUUUGUUUAAACAUAAGAGGAAAUAAGGUCAACACAAUUUAGUGAAUCCGUAAAUUCAUAUUGUACUUUUUUUUUUAUUUAGAAAAAGAUGAAGUGUCUUCCAGUGUCAUCUAAAUUCAAUCAUCAAAUUGUCUUUCUUUCACAUUUUUUUAAAUGCUAGAAUGGUAUUUGGGAUGGAAAUACUGUACGCUUACUUCAGGAAAGCCUGUAGUUUAUAAAACCUUAUGUAGUUGUUGUUGGUCUUUUGGUCACAGCCGACCAUCUGAUCCACAUAAACAGGUUUUUAUGCCGAAUGGCCUUACUGACGCA